CACACUAGAAACGCAGGUCAAUCCAACUAACACUUUAUUGGUAGUUGUAUUCUAUCCAACUAAAACUGAGGAAUGUAUUCCCAACAUAUCCCGUUAAAACCGUUUAGUUAAUACAUAUGAACGAGUAAAUACUCUCAAAUUUAAUCGAUUACAGAGAUGAUCUUUAAAAUACGAAUGAUUUCGAUUAUAACAUAUGUACGAUGAAAUUCAUAUAUCACUAGGAUAUACACAAGGAGGUGCACCCUUAGUAUUAUCCAUUCCCAUAUUUUCAGUCUUACACAUCUGACUAAUGGCAUUGGUAUCUAUCUCCCCAUAAAGCAGCUUUAGCAAGACAAGAGAGGGGCCGCCGAGAAGACUGAAGAGUUGUCUGGAAAUUAAACUUUGAUUAUCUUCAUCUCUAAUGUCUUUAAUAGCGGUUUGACAGACAAACUAAUCAACUUUCCAACUGCAUGCCAACGAUUUCAUUCAGACCUCUUUGCCUAUUAUUCCUUGAAUUCGGGCGGCUUGUUUUCACUUUUGUAUAUGUUUGUUAACUUUACCGUGCUCAAACAAACAAGUAAUUAGGAACUAAAUAUAGUAAGUAAUCCAUGAUCAUCAAGUACAUUGGAUGUGGAUUGCUCACGUCUUUUCCCUUACUUUUCCUGAA
rnacentral:lncRNA from 1 species